rnacentral:rRNA from 1 species
GAUGAACGCUGGCGGCGUGCUUAACACAUGCAAGUCGAACGGGGAAGGCGGAGCUUGCUCUGCUGGAUCAGUGGCGAACGGGUGAGUAACACGUGAGCAAUCUGCCCCUGACUCUGGGAUAAGCGCUGGAAACGGCGUCUAAUACUGGAUACGAGCUGCGAAGGCAUCUUCAGCAGCUGGAAAGAACUUCGGUCAGGGAUGAGCUCGCGGCCUAUCAGCUUGUUGGUGAGGUAACGGCUCACCAAGGCGUCGACGGGUAGCCGGCCUGAGAGGGUGACCGGCCACACUGGGACUGAGACACGGCCCAGACUCCUACGGGAGGCAGCAGUGGGGAAUAUUGCACAAUGGGCGAAAGCCUGAUGCAGCAACGCCGCGUGAGGGACGACGGCCUUCGGGUUGUAAACCUCUUUUAGCAGGGAAGAAGCGAAAGUGACGGUACCUGCAGAAAAAGCGCCGGCUAACUACGUG